CUGGGAUUCGUUCAAACAGUUUGGAAAUGAGCAGACUUUUCUCUUGAAUCAAACCCAAUAUUCUUUUUUAGAUUUGGAAAAAGUCUCCAAAUUUCUCUUCCAGUACCUAUGGGGCAUGUUAGAAACAUUAGUAGCAUUUAUUAGGGGGAACCUUUCCCAUUAGCUAAAGCGAGGGCUAGUGUUGACAGCCAAUAUUCAGUGAACCACAGGGGCUUGCUGGUGAAGGUCAGAGGCUGUCUGCCCACCUGGCAGUGGCUGGCAUUGUUAUAUGCUAAAUCAGGAUUAUAUUUCUGACACUUGGCUAAAGGAUCCUGUAAGAGCUGCUCUGUUUAGAAUAAUAAUAAAAGCAAUGAAGAUUCUGGAACAAUGAGUACCUUCUCUGUGCCAGGUAAUGUGCCAGCGCUCACAGAGUGGAAUGUUUCUAAGUGCCAAGGACAGAGGAGUACAAGGUUUCUGUAAGACUUUGCAAAGGAUGAUUUACUACUUGGUGGGAAAUUUCCCUCACUCCAAACAACUGGAUUGUAUUAACUGGCACUUUGGUGAAGCUGUCCUGAAAAGUCACUUUUCUUUUCCAUUUGCUCUGAUUGCCCCCAUGCCUAACGAGCAGAAAGUGUUCCUAAGACUACAAAUAGUCAUGUGA
rnacentral:lncRNA from 10 species